rnacentral:rRNA from 1 species
AACGUAGGUGGCAAGCGUUAUCCGGAUUUACUGGGCGUAAAGCGCACGUAGGCGGCGCGUUAAGUCGGGUGUGAAAGCCCUGGGCUCAACCCAGGAAGUGCAUUCGAAACUGGCGCGCUUGAAUAUGGAAGAGGGUCGCGGAAUUCCCGGUGUAGAGGUGAAAUUCGUAGAUAUCGGGAGGAACACCAGUGGCGAAGGCGGCGACCUGGGCCAAUAUUGACGCUGAGGUGCGAAAGCGUGGGGAGCAAACAGG